UACAGAGGGUGCGAGCGUUGUCCGGAAUCACUGGGCGUAAAGGGCGCGUAGGUGGCUUGCCAAGCGUGUGGUGAAAGCCCGGAGCUCAACUCCGGGUCUGCCAUGCGAACUGGCAGGCUAGAGCACGGUAGAGGCCAAUGGAAUUCCGGGUGUAGCGGUGGAAUGCGUAGAGAUCCGGAGGAACACCAGCGGCGAAGGCGGCAUCCUGGACUGGUCCUGACACUCAGGAGCGAAAGCGUGGGGAGCGAUCCGG
rnacentral:rRNA from 1 species